rnacentral:lncRNA from 1 species
AUGCGGGCUCAUGAAUGAUGGAGAACAAAAUUCUUUGUGAUCUAUAUAGGUGGAUGAGUGUUAUAGGAUGAAGUGAUUUAAGAUCUGUGCAAAAUGCAUGAAUGACAAAGGAUGAAGUGCUUUGAGAUCUAUGCAUAUGGAUAGAUAAUGGAGGAUGAAAUAAUGUGAGAUAUGCGUGGGUAGUGGAUAAGAGAGGAGUAGUACUUGGAGAUCU